AGUGGAGAAGCCAACAUGAGAUAGUUAAAUAAUUAGGAGAACGACUUGGGAAAGUCGACCGUAGUGGGUGAGAGUCCCGUAUUUGAAGAUUAUUUAAUAGUACUAGGCAUGUUAAUAAGUAGGGCGAGACACGAGAAAUCUUGUCUGAAUAUGGGGGGACCAUCCUCCAAGGCUAAAUAUUCAUCAUCGACCGAUAGUGGAUU
rnacentral:rRNA from 1 species